UCCUCCAUGGCGCAAUUGGCUAGCGCGUCUGACUGUUACUGACUUCGCAAGAAGAGGUUGCAAUCAGGAGGUUCCUGGUUCGAGCCCAGGUGGGGGAG